rnacentral:rRNA from 1 species
GACGAACGCUGGCGGCGUGCCUAAUACAUGCAAGUCGAGCGCAGGAAGCUCACGGAACUCUUCGGAGGGAAGUGAAGGGAAUGAGCGGCGGACGGGUGAGUAACACGUAAGGAACCUGCCCCAAGGAUUGGGAUAACUCCGAGAAAUCGGAGCUAAUACCGAAUAGUUCUUCAGACCGCAUGGUAUGAUGAUGAAAGGCGCUCCGGCGUCACCUUGGGAUGGCCUUGCGGUGCAUUAGCUAGUUGGUGGGAUAAUGGCCCACCAAGGCGACGAUGCAUAGCCGACGUGAGAGGGUGAUCGGCCACACUGGGACUGGGACACGGCCCAGACUCCUACGGGAGGCAGCAGUAGGGAAUCUUCCACAAUGGACGAAAGUCUGAUGGAGCAACGCCGCGUGAGUGAUGAAGGUUUUCGGAUCGUAAAACUCUGUUGUAAGGGAAGAACAGGUAUGAGAGGUAAUGCUCAUGCUAUGACGGUACCUUACGAGAAAGCCACGGCUAACUACGUGCCAGCAGCCGCCGUAAGAC